GCCGCCGCGGUGCAUUAGCUAGUUGGUAAGGUAAAGGCUUACCAAGGCGAUGAUGCAUAGCCGAGUUGAGAGACUGAUCGGCCACAUUGGGGACUGAGACACGGCCCAAAACUCCUACGGGGAGGCAGCAGUAGGGAAUCUUCCACAAUGGACGCAAGUCUGAUGGAGCAACGCCGCGUGAGUGAAGAAGGUUUUCGGAUCGUAAAAGCUCUGUUGUUGGUGAAGAAGGAUAGAGGUAGUAACUGGCCUUUAUUUGACGGUAAUCAACCAGAAAGUCACGGCUAACUACGUGCCAGCAGCCGCGGUAAU
rnacentral:rRNA from 1 species